AUGCAGGGAAACUUAAAUCAGUUCUAUCAACAUGUUAAAUGUGCAACCAGAGGGAAAGAAAUUCUAGAUCACCUGUACUCCACACACAGAGACGGGUACAAAGCUCUCCCUCGCCCUCCAUUUGGUAAAUCUGACCACAAAUCUGUCCUUCUGAUUCCUGCUUACAUGCAAAAAUUAAAGCAAGAAGCACCAGUGACUCGGUCGAUAAAAAAGUGGUUAGAUGAAGCAGAUGCUAAACUACAGGACUGUUUUGCUAUCACAGACUGGAACAUGUUCCUGGAUUCUUCCGAUGGCAUUGAGGAGUACACCACAUCAGUCACUGGCUUUAUCAAUAAGUGCAUCGAGGACGUCGUCCCCACAGUGACUGUACGUACAUACCCCAACCAGAAGCCAUGGAUUACCGGCAACAUUCGCACUGAGCUAAAGGGUAGAGCUGCCGCUUUCAAGGUGCGGGACUCUAACCUGGAAGCUUACAAGAAAUCCUGCUAUGCCCUGCGACGAACCAUCAAACACGCAAAGCGUCAAUACAGGGCUAAGACUGAAUCAUACUACACCGGCUCCGACACUCGUCUUAUGUGGCAGGGCUUGCAAAUUAUUCCAGACUACAAAGGGAAGCACAGCCACGAGCUGCCCAGUGACACGAGCCUACCAGACGAGCUAAAUCACUUCUAUGCUCGCUUCGAGGCAAGCAACACUGAGGCACGCAUGAGAGCAUCACCUGUUCCGGACGACUGUGUGAUCACGCUCUCCGUAGAUGACGUGAGAAAGACCUUUAACCUCUUACAUCUAGACGUUCCGCUAGCGGAACACCUGCUCCCAUAUCCAAUGAUAGGCGUGGCGCGAAUUACAAAUUCCUCAAAAAUACAAAAACUUCUAUUUUUCAAACAUAUGACUAUUUUACAGCAUUUUAAAGACAAGACUCUCCUUUAUCUAACCACACUGUCCGAUUUCAAAAAGGCUUUACAGCGAAAGCAAAACAUUAGAUUAUGUCAGCAGAGUACCAAGCCAGAAAUAAUCAGACACCCAUUUUUCAAGCUAGCAUAUAAUGUCACAAAAAACAAAAAUGUCACAAAAAACAAAACCACAGCUAAAUGCAGAACUAACCUUUGA
rnacentral:lncRNA from 8 species